rnacentral:rRNA from 1 species
CAGUAGCCACGGGAAAACGGAGGGGGCUAGCGUUGUUCGGAAUUACUGGGCGUAAAGCGCACGUAGGCGGCUUGGUAAGUUAGAGGUGAAAGCCUGGAGCUCAACUCCAGAAUUGCCUUUAAGACUGCCGAGCUAGCAGGUGAGAGAGGUAAGUGGAAUUCCGAGUGUAGAGGUGAAAUUCGUAGAUAUUCGGAAGAACACCAGUGGCGAAGGCGGCUUACUGGCUCAUACUGGACGCUGAGGUGCGAAAGCGUGGGGAGCAAACAGGAUUAGAUACCCGGGUAGUCCCUGUCUCUUAUAA